ACAUGGGUAAGUCUUAUACGGCCAGCUCCCUCUCAAUCCCCCAGGACGGGAACGUAGCAAGGGCAGGAGGUUGUAGCGGCGCGAUAUAAGGAGCUUGCCCACC
rnacentral:SRP_RNA from 1 species